CAGAGGUCCGUGAUACAGUCCAGCCUCCGCACCAGCAUGGCCUCAUUUGGCGGGAAGUUAUGUGCCGUCGCGACUGAUUUUUGUCUCCGAAGCAUGUUGAUCCUGAUUGAAGACCUUGUUCGAAUGAAACCAAGCCAAAAACAUUGUUGAAGAGUGAGGAGAGACUGAAAGCAAAGGAAAAAAAAAUGAAAUACAAAAUAAAGGCAAGAUCUACAUUCUUUUGCUUUAAGCCAAAAAUAUCUUGGGAUAAAAAAUAAAGACAAAACCUAUAAAACAUUCUUUCAUUUUAAGCCAUAAACUCAAAACAUCUUUGCAAAAUUACUCUUGACAUAAGGCAUGAAAAAAAUAAUAAUAAUGAAAUAAUAAUAAUAAUGAUAAUAAAUGAAAGAGAGAGAAAAAAGGGGUUUCUAGAAUGUUCCUUUAAGUGUCACUCUUCCACAGUUUGAUUGUUUUGUCAUUUUCUAAUGCUCCGGAAGCAAUGAUGUUCUGCGUCGGAUGGCAGGCUGUACAUAGUACAACAUCUGAAAUCAGAUCAAUUAAUUAAUAGAACAUACAAAUCAAUUUAUAUAAGCAAUUUGAAAAAGAUGAUACCUACAAUACUAGCAGAAAAAAAAAAAAAUCAUGUGUCAUACCUGAAUGGCCUUCUAAUUUCUGAACAAUUUCUUUGGUUUGUAAAUUCCAAAUAUAGAUAAGGUUAUCUUCUGAUCCAGAGACAAUCCACUGAAAGAGAGAGAAAUACAUAUUUAAACAUAUUGCUUUGUUAUUGACAUUGCCUCCCUGGCUGACAAAUAAACAACAAUAACAACCACCUUAAACUCUAAGGUACAUGUAAAUAUGCAGGAAUCACCUGCUAGAAACCAACGUGUUUGCUUUUACACUGCAUAUUCACAAAAAAGUUUUGGUUUGUGGUUUCAAUAAAGACUGGUAAAAUAGUAUGAAUCUUUAGUGCUACUUUUUAACUUCAAAUUUGGUAAGAGUAUCCAAUCCCCUCAGAGCAAAGUCCACAUGAUAGAUGGGCUCUAAGUUGUGAAAGUACUAUGAUAGUGACACAGUGACCUUUCUCAAUAUGGCAUGAUAUCCAUGCCAUUCAAAGCCAACAAGUUAGGCAUUUCUAUUACUAUCAUUAUUGUUUGUCUUUAUUAUUCCUACCAAUAAUACUGUUAUCUUUACCUAAGUUUAUAAUAAUAAUACACAGUCAUUUAUCAGGACUAUCCCUUCAACUAUUCAUAUCAUAGAGCAAAUGGUACUCACCUUUCCUCCUGUUACUGAGAAAUUGGCAAAUAUGCAAUACUUUUCAUUCUUGUGCCCUGUGUAGGUUUUGAGGCAUUUGCCUUUACUAUAGUCCCAGAGUUUUAAUGUGUUAUCUAAGGUUGCUGCCAAUAUAUAUUUCCCAUUAGGAGAGAACUUUACAAA